GCCCACCAAGCAAUAUCUGCUUUGCAGCCAGGGUUAAGUCUUACGAAAUGUGAUGGCUGUCUCAAAAUGUUCUUGGCAUUAAUCAAGUUUCUCAUAAAUGGUCCCCCAAAGGGAACAACCUUUGCUGCAUCGUUAAGGACGCCUAUGAUGACUUCCAACUGAUGCUUAGUUGCAGCUUUCCUUUUGCUCCACUUAAAUAUUUCCUUCAAGGGAGCAACUUAAUGGGGAGAUGUAGUUCCCUUGCUACUGAAUGAAUUUCUAUACCCAAAAAUAUGAGGGUAGAAAAGGAACUUCCACCUUUGUUGGCCCAGGCAAACCUGUCUGCUACAACGUUAAAAAUGAUUGGAGCUGACCUACAUGUAAGACCGAAAGGAAGAGCUCUAUUGAGAUACUCAUUGCCUCUCCAUGAAAUCUCAAGGAAAUGACUGCCAUCAGAAUGGACAAGCACUUUAUGAUAUGCAGAUUUUAGUUGUGAUUGCCAGGCUCCCCUUUUCUAGACAACUGAAGAGCACAAGCUGAUUGCUGAUGGUCUGCUGCAUUGCAAAGAAUACAGACAGAGACCCGAGCUCCUGAGAAAACAUGGAAGCCAAUAGUGAAGGGGAAUUCCUGCCCCAGCAGCCUCAAGAGGCGAUCAUAUGCUUACCAUUUUUUACCCCCAUGGCGUUGAGCAUUAUGAAAGAUGACUUGGCUAUAUGCAGCCAUCUCCCUAGCUUUAGGGUCGGAGGCAGCUACAGCCAAGUAGCUAAGGAAGUACAAGGCCCAAGUGAGUAGGUCAUCAAUUUCCUUUAACUUCAAUCCAGCAUUAGACUGAGCAACUCUGAAAGCUGCAAUUUCUUUGCAGUAUUAUCUGGCAUUAACUCUUUUAAUUUAAAGAAUUGGUUUGACUUGAUUUUGUCAGCAACAUUUGAUGGAACCGCUGGGGAAGAAGGAGAAGUGAUGAAUGAGAGAGGCAAUUCCCGAACAACUGUAGAAGAGAGGCUUGCUGGGCAAAACUCGGCCCAAAACUUGGCCCGUUUUUGUGUCAACUGAUGAAAGCCAGAAAGUAGUCAUAACUGCUAAUUAGUGAAUAUGUAGCAUUAUCACUUACUUGAAACAAAUUGACUGCCUUAAAACUUCUUUUUAAACUAUCUCCUUUAUACUCAAGAGCAGAUGUCAAUUAUUUAAAUUUAAAUUACGCGAGUGGGCGGAUAAGCAUGCUCUUGACAUGUGCGUGUACUUUAUAAUGCAUUAAAAAAUUAAUCAGAGGAUGGGGCUACAGAGGAGCUUAUGAGGGAAACUCCAAAUAAUGAUGAUGAACUACUUAAAGCUAUAGAGCUUGUUGUAGUUGUAGUAUCAGAACUGCCUGCUGGCAGAGAAAGAUAUAUAAUUUUUUUAAAUGGAGCAAGAGCCAAAUGUGGCUUGAAAUUGGGUUGCAUGAACCACAACAGUGUCUUGUAAGGGAUGCAAAAGACACUACGGUGGGAAUGCAUUAAUAAAAGAAACCAUACAGAAUGACGGCAUGGUUGGGUUGUACAUGGUUUGGUCCACUUUUUAGAUCCACAUUACAAUUCAUACAAAAGACAUCCUCAUUUAUGGGGCAUUUUUAUUUCCUAUCAAUACUAUCCACACCAUCUACUUCACUGUCUUCACUAGUUAUAUUUAUAUUCAGGUGUAUGCGCAGGUGGAAUUUAAUUAUGGACUAUAGUGGCCAUAGGAAGGCAAGGAAAGGCAAUAAAAGGCCUUGUUUGCUCUGAUGUGGUACCAAGAAAAAUGAAGGCUAAGAUUCCAUUUCAUAUUAAGAUCAAUACAUCAUAUUUUCCUUUAGAACUGGCAUGGUAGCACAUGAUUGAAGUGAAUUACAGCUGCUUGGUUGUCAGGGCGCAUCUUGAUAAUAGUACCUCUUAUUUUAGAUGGUUUGACACAUCUGACUGCUUCAUUGGCAUCUCUAAUAGCCUCAGGACUUAUAAUUUGUUAAGUUACAUGUGAUAUACUCAAGUUUAGACAAUAUGUUACCUCACCACAAUUCAUUUCUUCAAUUACAGUACCUAAUUGUAAAAAUGUUUCACUUACAUUUUUUUAUCAGAAGCUUGAAUAUCUCCACAUAUGAACAUCAGGACUUGUUUCAUUGUAAAAGAAAUCUUUUGUUUCCUGCAUCUUUUCAAAGUUUGUUCUCCUUAAUGCCUGCAUGUCACAAGUUUUAUUCCGAUUUUUUUAGUUUGAAAGGCACUCACUUGUUUCAUAGUUGAUACAGAAUAAGACAGCUUUUUAUCAAUGCCAUUCAGUACAACUGCAAUUACAUUAUGUCCUGCAACUGUAACAUCAGUCCUCAGAGAUUUAGAACAAGGAGCUGUAGGGUCAGGGAAAGAAUCAUUAGCAAUGAAAGAAGGCCGCCUGAGAUACCAAUGAAGUGCCAUUUUAAUUGCUCCAUUGUGUGCUCAGCUGGUAUAUUAAUUAUUAAUGAACAAAUAAUCAUUCCAUAGACAAUAAAUGCUUUAAAUUAUUGAGUUGCUGACAGUUAUAGACACUCUCCCUAUAUAAUGAUAUACACUUCAUGUAUGUGUUAUUUAUAAUAGUCUCUCCUCAAUUUUAGACCUCUAUAAUAUUGAAUUUGAGUAUUCCUGAGUGGUUCUCAAGACAUUGUUGUUGGGCUUUACUGGAUGAGUUUGAAUACACUCCAAAAGUUGCUCCCGUCAAGUUCCUCUUGUUUUUAGCAUAUUCUUUACCAAUUAGUGCUUGACUUGUUGCAAUUCAGAUGCUCUAAUAUAACUAAGUGUCAAUUGUCAUCAUUCACUGGACUUUCCUGAGGGUCUCAAUACUUGUCACUAAUAACCAAACUAAUAAAAGAGGAGAGAGUCCUCCAGUCACAUGAUCACUUCAGACUCUAUUCAAUCCUCUUCCCCUGGUAUGGUUGAGUCUGUUCUUAUCAGUGACAUCUUCAAGUUGAUUAGCACAAAAUACUUUUGCAUAACAUUACGAUUUGUUUAGACCAACUUGAGUAGAGUGAGAUUAAGAAGGGAAGGAAUGAAUUUUUAUAGUUCAUUACUUUAUCAUGAAUUUUUUUUGUUAAAGUUCUUAGAUUUUACUAAGAAAUAACCAACUAAA